rfam:Triticum urartu cultivar G1812 contig1070742, whole genome shotgun sequence.
GUACACACUUGAUUGUAUUGAGCCUUGGUAUGGAAACCUGCUAAGUGGUAACUUCCAAAUUCAGAGAAACCCUGGAAUUAAAAAAGGGCAAUCCUUAGCCAAAUCCAUGUUUUGAGAAAAUAAGUGGUUCUCAAACUAGAAUACAAAGUAAAAGGAUAGGUGCAGAGACUCAAUGGAAGUUGUUCUAACAAAUCGAGUUAAUUACGUUGUGUUUUUAGUGGAAUUCCUUCUAAUUCUAAAAUAGAGAAAGAGGGG